UACAUGGGGUGCAAACGUUGCUCGGAAUUAUUGGGCGUAAAGCGCGCGUAGGCGGUUACUCAAGUCGGAUGUGAAAGCCCUCGGCUUAACUGAGGAAGUGCACCCGAAACUGAGUAGCUAGAGUACCAAAGAGGGUCGCGGAAUUCCCGGUGUAGAGGUGAAAUUCGUAGAUAUCGGGAGGAACACCGGUGGCGAAGGCGGCGACCUGGGUGGAUACUGACGCUGAGGCGCGAAGGCCAGGGGAGCAAACGGG
rnacentral:rRNA from 1 species